rnacentral:lncRNA from 12 species
UGUGCCAACCACAGGACUACGUGCCUUGUCUUUUUUGCAUUCUUAUAACAAUGUUAACCACCACUUCUCCUCUUGCUUUAACUGUACUUUGAGAUAACUGUGGAUUCAUGUGUUGGAAGACAUAAUACAGAUCCCGUGUACCCUUGACCCUGCUUCCUCCAGUGGUGACAUCUCGCAUAGUUAUGGUAACCACGUGGGUACAUCGUCACUGAUGCAGUCCCUUAGGCUUUUUCAGAUUUUACCUGUGUUAUAUGCACACACUUGUGUAUCUGCAUACGUAUGUAUAUUUUUUCCUGUCCAGUUUACUAUAGGUGUAGAUUCCGUUUCUUUUGAACAUAUGAUGGAAAGAAGGCUGAGGUCUGUAUGAGCUGUUGGCUGUUGUGCCAGGCCGGCUGGGGCCACGUGUGGACAGCCAGGAAGACCUGACCUUCCUCUGGGAUAUGUUUGGUGAGAAAAGCCUGCAUUCACCGGUAAAGUGCUAAGUUGCCAGUGGAAACUGCCCAUGGGCCACAUGAGAGACCACGGAUCCUGUAAUGCUGGGAGGCAUAAAGCUGGCACAGAAGUGCUGCAGAGAGGCUGUCACCAGUUAGAGGGAAGGAGCCAGAGAAGCAAGAGGUGUGGCAACAGCCAAGGGUCUUCAAAGGCAUGCAGAGAGGCAGGCUGA